UACGAAGGGGGCUAGCGUUGCUCGGAAUCACUGGGCGUAAAGGGUGCGUAGGCGGGUCUUUAAGUCAGGGGUGAAAUCCUGGAGCUCAACUCCAGAACUGCCUUUGAUACUGAGGAUCUUGAGUUCGGGAGAGGUGAGUGGAAUUGCAGGUGUAGCGGUGAAAUGCGUAGAUAUCUGCAGGAACACCCGUGGCGAAGGCGGUUCUCUGGGACGGUACUGACGCUGAGACGCGAAAGCGUGGGGAGCGAACAGG
rnacentral:rRNA from 1 species